GUGUGAUGCGUUCCUCCAUCCCGGGGUAUUUUUAUAUAAUGUCUUGUUAGCUCUUUGUGGCUGAUGAGUGCAUAGAAAAUAUACCAUGAGCACACUGGAUACGACCCGAAAGAUGGUGAACUAUGCCUGAUCAGGUUGAAGUCAGGGGAAACCCUGAUGGAGGACCGAAGCAAUUCUGACGUGC
rnacentral:rRNA from 1 species